rnacentral:rRNA from 1 species
CCUACAGGAGGCAGCAGUGGGGAAUAUUGCACAAUGGGCGAAAGCCUGAUGCAGCAACGCCGCGUGAAGGAAGAAGGGUUUCGGCUCGUAAACUUCUAUCAACAGGGACGAAAGAAAUGACGGUACCUGAAUAAGAAGCCCCGGCUAACUACGUGCCAGCAGCCGCGGUAAUACGGAGGGGGCAAGCGUUAUCCGGAAUUACUGGGUGUAAAGGGUGAGUAGGCGGCAUGGUAAGCCAGAUGUGAAAGCCUUGGGCUUAACCCGAGGAUUGCAUUUGGAACUAUCAAGCUAGAGUACAGGAGGGGAAAGCGGAAUUCCUAGUGUAGCGGUGAAAUGCGUAGAUAUUAGGAAGAACACCAGUGGCGAAGGCGGCUUUCUGGACUGAAACUGACGCUGAGGCACGAAAGCGUGGGGAGCGAACAGGAUUAGAUACCCUGGUAGUC